rnacentral:rRNA from 1 species
UACGAAGGGGGCGAGCGUUGUUCGGAUUUACUGGGCGUAAAGGGCGCGCAGGCGGCUCAUUUUGUCAGGCGUGAAAGCCCCGGGCUUAACCUGGGAGGUGCGUUUGAUACGGAUGGGCUAGAGUUCGGGAGAGGAGAGUGGAAUUCCCAGUGUAGAGGUGAAAUGCGUAGAUAUCGGGAGGAACACCUGUGGCGAAAGCGGCUCACUGGACCACAACUGACGCUGAGGCGCGAAAGCUAGGGGAGCAAACAGG